rnacentral:rRNA from 1 species
GAACGGUAACAGGUUAAGCUGACGAGUGGCGAACGGAUGAGUAAUAUAUCGGAACGUGCCCAGUCGUGGGGGAUAACUGCUCGAAAGAGCAGCUAACACCGCAUACGACCUGAGGGUGAAAGCGGGGGAUCGCAAGACCUCGCGCGAUUGGAGCGGCCGAUAUCAGAUUAGGUAGUUGGUGGGGUAAAGGCCCACCAAGCCAACGAUCUGUAGCUGGUCUGAGAGGACGACCAGCCACACUGGGACUGAGACACGGCCCAGACUCCUACGGGAGGCAGCAGUGGGGAAUUUUGGACAAUGGGCGCAAGCCUGAUCCAGCCAUGCCGCGUGCGGGAAGAAGGCCUUCGGGUUGUAAACCGCUUUUGUCAGGGAAGAAAAGGUUCUGGUUAAUACCUGGGACUCAUGACGGUACCCUGAAGAAUAAGCACCGGCUAACUACGUG